GAGAAUACUCUGGAAACAACUCUCGAUGGGGAAGACAGUGUUGUUGCCUAGUUCUCUAGGCUUUAAUUCUCUUGUCCUGGGAUAUUUUGAAGAAACUUUAUUAUGUUCUAAGUUUUUAAAUUCUCUGUAAUUUCUAGGGAGAAACUCUAGUACUCUAGUUUUCAAUUCCACACUAUUCUAAGGAUGACUGUAAUCCUAAUUACUCUUGACUGCUUUCCUAUAUUAUGCAUGAUGACA
rnacentral:lncRNA from 1 species